rnacentral:pre_miRNA from 1 species
UCUUUUGCGGGUGCAGCAUCAUCAAGAUUCACAAAUCAAACACUUAUCCAUUAGGGUUUGAUCCAUAUGGGAAUCUUGAUGAUGCUGCAGCGGCAAUGGG